UUCCAAUAUGGAGAAGACAACUGUUGAAACCACAUCAUCAGAUAAUUUGACAACUAUGGCGGCUACAAACAAGACAACAGUUCAAACCACAAUAUCAGAUGAUUUGACAACUGUGCCCACUACAGACAAGACAACAGUCACAACCACAAUAUCAGAUGAUUUGACAACUGUGCCCACUACAGACAAGACAACAGUCACAACCACAAUAUCAGGUAAUGCUUAAAAAUGAGUCUAGUUUAACUAUUU